CGAACUUCUCCUUCUUGGGGUGCCGCUCCUGUCCGGCGGUCCCUCCCAUGGUGAUAGAGUGCUCUAUUUCCUUGAACACGCCCCUCCCUUUGCCCCUUCAGGCCUAGAAGUGGUGACGUCUUCUGCUGCUGACCUGGAGAACUUCACCUGCCCCUGAGGCUUCCUGAAGCCAGCCCACGCGGUGCAAAAGUCCAUUCCUUGAGACCUAUCUGUUGCCCAUCUGAGUGAGGCACAGGCAGCCUUGCAGGAUUUUCCUGAGUGCGUGACGAUUCGCGGGAAUUACCCAGUGCCCAGCUCGGUCCUUGGCUUAGAAAGAAAGUGUGCAGCCAGUGUUCCCCGAACCAAACCCAAGAUUUUCAAACGACCUGAAGCCCUUUGGAUGAAAGCAUUUAAAAAGUGCAAAGCUGUCCUUCUCUCCAUUCAAACCAUAUUCGAUUUCAUCGAUUUGGAAAGGGAGCAGGGGAAGUCACCUAUGACUCUGCACGGAAAAUCAGAUGUCUUGCAGGCGGAUGGAGGAUUCCAUUGCAGACCCGACCUCUAUGUGGAAUUGGAAAUCAGUGUUGUAAUUUCAGGUGGGGGCUCCAUGAAAGUUCUGUCUCCCAUCUUCUCCCGUCCCUCCUCAAAAUAGCUCUUCCUGUUAUACACAGUGCUAGAAAUUUACCCAUGCAGCAUGCAACCCUCAAGCCUUCCACUAAAGUCAGAUGUCUCUGAGAAACUGAACACCUUAAGCCAGAACCAAUAAAUAUACCACACAGUUGCUGACACUUCCAAGUCCAGGGCAGACAUUGCUAAUCGAUCAGACACGGUUUCCAACAAAGGCUUGAUUUUGAUAGGGAGCUCCAGGCAGACAUUCCCAAUGGAUCAGUCACUGCAUGGGUGGAAACUGUUAGCCAUCCCCGUCUGAAAACAUGGUGGAGAUGGAGAUGAUGAAGAGGAAAGCAUUCAGCUUCCAAAAGCCCUGAUUUCUCUCUUUUGUUGUUUCUUUUUCUUUCUUUCUUUUUUUGAGACAGAGUCUUCCUCUGCCAGCCAGGCUGGAGUGCAGUGGUGUGAUCACGGCAACCUUUGCCUUUUGAGAUUGAGCUAUUCUUCCACCUCGGCCUCCCGAGUAGCUGAGACUACAGGUGCACACCACCACACCCAGCUAAUUUUUUGGUAUAUUUUGCAGAGAUAGAUUUUGCCAAGUUGCAAGGGUUAGUCUAGAACUCCUGGGCUCAAGUGAUCUGUCCGCCUCAGCCUCCCAGAGUGCUGGGAUUAUAGGCAUGAGGCAUAGUGCCCAGUUUGUUGUUUCUUUCUUCUUUUCUUUUCUUUUUUUUUUUGAGAUGGAGUCUUGCUCUGUCGCUCCGGCUGGAGUGCAGUGAUGCAAUCUUGGCUUGUUGCAACCACCGCCUCCCAGGUUCAAGCAAUUCUCCUGCCUCAGCCUCCCAAGUAGCUGGGAUUACAGGCACCUGUCACCAAGCCUGGCUAAUUUGUUGUUGUUGUUGUUGUUGUAUUUUUAGUAGAGAUGGGGUUUCACCAUGUUGGUCAGGCUGAUCUCGAACUCCUGACCUCAGGUAAUCCACCUGCCUCGGUCUCCCAAAUUGUUGGGAUUACAGGCAUGAGCCACUGCACCUGGCCUCUGUUGUUUCAUUUUUAGCAUAAAGUCCACCACACCUUUCCCCCCAAUAUUUACCGUGACAUUUUGAUUUCUGUUCUAAGCAGAUUCACUCCAAGUGGCCUUUCUCCUGUUACUUGUUUUGUUUACAUAACAGGAACCUCCUGUUAUAAAAAAGGCAAGGAGCUUGCAGUUAAGAAAGGGCAGUCAGGGACCUGCAGGUCACUGGUACAAUGUCUGACUUUCUAGAAAAGACAAAACUAUCCACCAAACGCCUCUGGCUGUCUCAGAGAGCCAGUUGAUGAAGUGGGGAGACAGUAAAGUUCUGGCUCAAAUGCAGCUCCAGUUCUUCUGAACAGAACCAGUUGGUGCUGAGCCCUUAUGGGCCCGUCCUGGGUUGGGGCACAGGCAUGAAUUGAGCAUAAACCCUGUGUCCCUUUCUUGGGGCUGCUGUAAUACAAGACCACAAACCAGGCAGCUUAAAACAACAGAAAUUGACUCAUAGUUCAGGAGGCUGGAGGCCAAAGUCAAGGUGUCGGGAGGGUCAGCCCCUUCUGAGGCUGGGAGGGAACCUGCUCCAGGCCUCUCUCCUGGUAGUUUCUGGCAAUCUUGAUGUUCCUUGGCUUGCAGACGCGUCGCUCCAGUCUAGGCAUCCGUCUUCACAUGGCUGCCCUCCUCUCUGCAUCUCCUUUCUGUCUCUUAUAAGGAAAUGUGUCAUUGAUUUAGGGUGCCCCAAUAACCAAGCCGAGGCAGAGAAGGUGUGUGCCUCUGAACAGGGGGCAGGAAGCUCAGGGCGGGAGCAGGCAUCAGAACUGAGUCCUGAAGGCUGACUGGGAAGUGGGGAGGUGGAGUGUGGGGGGCCGUGUCUCAGGGCGCCAGAAGUGUGACAGGGCCCCAUAGUGCAAGGACAGCUCUUCUCCCCUGCUCAUGGCAGGGUAAGUGUGAGCUCCUGCGGAGGGGCAUCUGGGCCGACUCUGUAGUCAUGAGCUGGCUUAGG
rnacentral:lncRNA from 1 species